CUCCUACAUAGCACAUAAAAACCCAACCCAAAUCAGUCAUCCUUCUCAACUGGACACAGCUUUUGUCGUGUGAAUCAAGAAGAGUCGUAGGCUAGUAAACUAUUAUCCUAAAAUCAGGGGGACACAGCAACAGCUCUGAGCAAGAUGAGUCAAAUGAUUACCUUGUGCCUAGGAAUUGUCAUACUGGCUUUGCUUAUACCCAGUCAGGUUCACAGUCAAUCCACCGCAAAAUCCAAUGAUACACAUGCAACAUCAGUGAAUCAGAAUUCAUCAUCCAUAAAUAAUUCUAGUGGUGUAUCACCAGCUACGACUUCUACAAACACUACAACACCACAUUCGCACGCAGAGUCUUUGUAUACAUCUUCUGCUCUCCUCUUCAGCAUUGCCUCCAUCUCUCUUCUAAAUCUUUGCUGCUAAGGAAUUGUGACCUAUGUAUGACAACAGACCACUCUCGCCACUUCAGCUCUUUUCUGAUGACCAAGCACAUCAUGGAAUGGCAUGUAAUGCCAUGCAAGAUCUAUGUACCCCCUUUUCUGAAUGUUUGCCUCCUCUUGACUGAAGCUUUCCCUCCAACCAUUGUUGUAUCAGACACAGGGAAUUGAAAACCUCCCGAAACGAAACCUCGAAGAACCGUGUUUCCUCAGUGGAACACCAGAGACUCUAUCCCAUGGUGAAACCUAACAAGAUAUGUAAUAUAAGCUGCAAGACACAGCUGUAACGGAGAUGAUGACAGGGUCACAGAGACCAUAGCAAGGACUGAAAAGACUUACAGACUGUUUUGAUUCUAUGUGGACAGCUAUGUUCAUAUAUAUAUAUAUAACAACAUGUAGACUGAGUAACACAUUUGUAACCAUGUAACCAAAUAAAUUUGUAUGGUACACAUUGAUUUCAUUUUGUUUUCUUCUGUGGAAUAUUCCACCUGCAACCAGGAGUAUGUCAGUUCAAUAAUUAAGAGUGAAACAGACAUAACCUAUCUCAUGCAGGCUGCAAGCAGGUAAAGAGAUUUGGAUUACUCUCAUGAAAGGUAGUCUUUGUGCUGGAAGGAUGAACAAUACCUGCCUUGUUCUUUGGAAUCAUCUUCAGAUAAGCUUGAUGUGGAAGCAUUCCAUUUCCAGUCAGCUUUAAAAUGCAUACCUUACAUUUGUCCGUUCUUUAUCUAAGGCUUAUAUUGUUUUUAUGAACAUCCUUAUUCAGUUUUGCCAGAAUGCCUACAAUAUGCUGAUGUAUUUUUUGCAAUGUGUUUUUCAAGAGGACAGAACUUGCUAUGUGUUGUUUGUCAAAAAUAGAUGCAGUGAAAGUA